rnacentral:rRNA from 1 species
UCGAGGGGCAGCAUGGUCUUAGCUUGCUAAGGCUGAUGGCGACCGGCGCACGGGUGAGUAACACGUAUCCAACCUGCCGUCUACUCUUGGCCAGCCUUCUGAAAGGAAGAUUAAUCCAGGAUGGGAUCAUGAGUUCACAUGUCCGCAUGAUUAAAGGUAUUUUCCGGUAGACGAUGGGGAUGCGUUCCAUUAGAUAGUAGGCGGGGUAACGGCCCACCUAGUCAACGAUGGAUAGGGGUUCUGAGAGGAAGGUCCCCCACAUUGGAACUGAGACACGGUCCAAACUCCUACGGGAGGCAGCAGUGAGGAAUAUUGGUCAAUGGGCGAUGGCCUGAACCAGCCAAGUAGCGUGAAGGAUGACUGCCCUAUGGGUUGUAAACUUCUUUUAUAAAGGAAUAAAGUCGGGUAUGCAUACCCGUUUGCAUGUACUUUAUGAAUAAGGAUCGGCUAACUCCGUGCCAGCAGCCGCGGUAAUACGGAGGAUCCGAGCGUUAUCCGGAUUUAUUGGGCUUAAAGGGAGCGUAGAUGGAUGUUUAAGUCAGUUGUGAAAGUUUGCGGCUCAACCGUAAAAUUGCAGUUGAUACUGGAUGUCUUGAGUGCAGUUGAGGCGGGCGGAAUUCGUGGUGUAGCGGUGAAUGCUUAGAUAUCACGAAGACUCCGAUUGCGAAGGCAGCCUGCUAAGCUGCAACUGACAUUG